rnacentral:rRNA from 1 species
ACUGAGACACGGCCCAGACUCCUACGGGAGGCAGCAGUGGGGAAUAUUGGACAAUGGGCGAAAGCCUGAUCCAGCCAUGCCGCGUGUGUGAAGAAGGCCUUUUGGUUGUAAAGCACUUUAAGUGGGGAGGAAAAGCUUAUGGUUAAUACCCAUAAGCCCUGACGUUACCCACAGAAUAAGCACCGGCUAACUCUGUGCCAGCAGCCGCGGUAAUACAGAGGGUGCAAGCGUUAAUCGGAAUUACUGGGCGUAAAGCGCGCGUAGGUGGUUAUUUAAGUCAGAUGUGAAAGCCCCGGGCUUAACCUGGGAACUGCAUCUGAUACUGGAUAACUAGAGUAGGUGAGAGGGGAGUAGAAUUCCAGGUGUAGCGGUGAAAUGCGUAGAGAUCUGGAGGAAUACCGAUGGCGAAGGCAGCUCCCUGGCAUCAUACUGACACUGAGGUGCGAAAGCGUGGGUAGCAAACAGGAUUAGAUACCCUGGUAGUCCACGCCGUAAACGAUGUCUACCAGUCGUUGGGUCUUUUAAA